CAUAGUGCCCAAACAGAAAUAUCGAUUGAUUUUGAGAGAUCAGCUGGAGUUGGCCUAAGCAGGCACACGAGUCUACAGGCUUAUAUUGAGGCUAGCUUGGGCGUCUACACUUCGAGAAGCAUUUCGGACCAUUGGGCUGUUGCCGAUCAGACCAAAAAACUUGAGAUGGCGUCAUGCUACGACAGACGCAAGCCAUGUCAGAUUCUGCACAAGCUAUUUUGCAGGCGCCUUUUGGAAGAACAUAGGGCUUACUGUUUUCAAUGGUUUUCCUGCAUGCGUCCUCAAUAAUUGCUUUCUCUUCAUAACAAUAAUCCUGCUCACCCAAAGCUUGAUGUAUUGUAAACAUGGUAAAAAUUGAAGCAAAGACCAUGAGUUGAAGGAUUACUUUUUUAGCGUCAUGUAUUCUAGUAUGAAGUUG